UUCAAAGGCUUUUGACCCACUCAGAUCAUCAACAAUCUCAUUUUAUUCGAUCCUCAACGGAAAUAUUUUCAAUUUUCCAUCAGAGCGUUGGAGAAUCGAACAACUUAGAAGUCAUCUACAAUUUGUUCAGCAGUACUAGUUGAAAACAACUUUGAACAAAUGGAGGUUGACACCACUCUGAGUCCUAGAGUCAACUCAGUACAGCCUUCAAAAACAACGGCUAUAACUAACCAAGCCACUGCACUUGUAGAAGCUGGUGUUCCUGUCAUUCGUUUAUCUGCUGGACAACCUGAUUUUGACACCCCUGCGGUAAUUGCUCAGGCUGGAAUAAACGCAAUUUGUGAAGGUUACACAAAGUAUACUCCUAAUGCUGGUACCAUGGAACUACGAACAGCGAUAUGCAAGAAACUAAAGGGUGAUCUCUGAUGAAUUAUACGAGCACAUAAUAUACACACCAGCUGUACACACGAGCUUUGCAUCUUUGCCUGGCAUGUGGGAACGUACACUAACAGUCAACGGGUUCUCUAAGGUACUUAGUUGCAUUAGUGAUUUGGUUCUCUACAAAUGCACUCAAAAGGUGUAUUUAUUAAAUAAAUUAUCAUCAUUUACUGUCAUAUUAGCCAUGGCUCACUUAAUCUGCAUUUCCCUAGGCUUUUGCAAUGACUGUUUGGGAGAGUUGGAUAUAUUGCUGGUCCUAAACACUUCAUUGCUGCGUGUGAUAAAAUUCAAAGUCAGGUGCAUAGUUUCGCAUUAAAGCUACUAUAAGAAUCUUAUUCAUUCAAACAGCAUGUAAUUAUGUCAUAUCAGCCAUGGCUCACUUAA